GGCAGCAGUAGGGAAUCUUCCACAAUGGGCGAAAGCCUGAUGGAGCAACCGCCGCGUGAGUGAAGAAGAGUUUUCGGAUCGUAAAACUCCUGUUGUAAGGGAAGAACAAGUAUCAGUAGUAACCUGGCUGUACCCUUGACCGGUACCUAUAAAACCCGAUUCGCCCCC
rnacentral:rRNA from 1 species